rnacentral:tRNA from 1 species
AGGUCGGUAGUUCAGUGGCUAGAAUAGUGGUCUCCAAAACCAUAGACUUGGGUUCGAGUCCCAACUGACCUGCCA